rnacentral:rRNA from 1 species
UUACGGGAGCCAGCAGUAAGGAAUAUUGGUCAAUGGACGCAAGUCUGAACCAGCCAUGCCGCGUGGAGGAUGAAGGCCCUCUGGGUUGUAAACUUCUUUUAUCUGGGAAGAAACCUCCGAUUUCUAUUGGAGCCGACGGUACCAGAUGAAUAAGCACCGGCUAACUCCGUGCCAGCAGCCGCGGUAAUACGGAGGGUGCAAGCGUUAUCCGGAUUCACUGGGUUUAAAGGGUGCGUAGGUGGGUCUGUAAGUCAGUGGUGAAAUCUCCGGGCUUAACUCGGAAACUGCCGUUGAUACUAUAGAUCUUGAAUAUCGCGUAGGUAAGCGGAAUAUGUCAUGUAGCGGUGAAAUGCUUAGAUAUGACAUAGAACACCAAUUGCGAAGGCAGCUUACUUCACGAUCAUUGACACUGAGGCACGAAAGCGUGGGGAGCAAACAGGAUUAGAUACCCCUGUAGUCCG